rnacentral:lncRNA from 1 species
UACGUUGUGGUAAGUCGCCGUUCUGUCCGCUUGUAAAUAAAGUUCACUUAUAAAUGCAAACCAUGUAAAGAACGAUGUUUAAAAUAUAGCAUAACAUGUAAAAUCUAAUGUUACAUGUUGUAAGGCGUUUUGUUGGUUUGUGUGUGAUGUUUGAGGAGUUCUUGAGCACGAGGUUUAUGUGACAUGUGCGCGCUAAUGCGGGCCUCCUCUUUUAUAGUUGUGUGUUGUCCCAUGUUGCAGCUAAUAAACCAGUCCAGUGCUCAACCCAACCUGUCUCCGUGGGUUCAAUUAAGAAGCAGAAGAGCUGCAGUGUACCCAAGGUCACAUCUGCUCUAUAAGGUGUCCGGCCGCCAUCCCCUAUUCACGUGCUUUUGUGUAUUGGAGAACCUGCUCAUCAAGCUGCAGUCUGCAACUUCUGCGGGAGGUUUAAUUCAAAUCCAGUACUGUUGCAUUUCAGCAAAAGCACAAGGGUGAAAGUCUUUGGUCCCCUUCAACUCCUGAGCAACAACAGCAGGUAAUACUUUAAAAAUAUACCAAUGAUAAAGGGCUUUCUGUUGAAGAAAGUACACUCAAUAUAUGAAUAAAUAGAUGUGAUGCACUGAAAGCAUUCCAU